rnacentral:rRNA from 1 species
UACAGAGGUCUCAAGCGUUGUUCGGAUUCAUUGGGCGUAAAGGGUGCGUAGGCGGCGCGGUAAGUCGGGUGUGAAAUCUUGGAGCUUAACUCCGAAACUGCAUUCGAUACUGCCGUGCUUGAGGACUGGAGAGGAGACUGGAAUUUACGGUGUAGCGGUGAAAUGCGUAGAUAUCGUAAGGAAGACCAGUGGCGAAGGGCGGGUCUCUGG